UGGAGGAGUUUUGCGUAAUUCCAGUGGCAGUUUACCCCUGUUAUCGUAGCAGAGCCGAGUGCGGGAAAGCAAGUUAUACUCUACCAAACUUUAUUCCACCGUGUACUAAAUAGAGGAGCAAAUUUUGUGGCGUGACUUCGAUGUGCAUGCACAUCGUGCCACGGAGAGCUUUGUACUCCCGUGCAGCUCUCCAAAGACAGUAGCGAGCCAUGCAGAAACACUGUGAGCUAAAAUCAAGUGUGAAAAUCCUGACCAGAUAGAGCCAGUGAAAAAGCUUAGUGAAGGGGAGCAGACGAGGCACUUCCUUAACUUCUUCCUGCAAACGAGCUGAUCGAUUGGGCAGGGGGCACUGGAAUCCGUAAAAACGUGAAACUGGCAGCUUUGCAAAAGGAAGUUUCCUGAAAUCACCGUUUAGGGAGAACUAGUAUUUCCUUGGAUUGUUGCCUGUAGUACAUCGUUUGAGCAUGAGGACUAUUCUGUUUGCCUGAUCCAUUGCCCGGUGUCCCACGGCUGUGCUGUAACGGCCCCCCCGGCAGCAAGCCUUGCUGGACCCCGCACCCCAG